UACGUAGGGCGCAAGCGUUAUCCGGAAUUACUGGGCGUAAAGAGCGCGUAGGCGGUCCGGUAAGUCGGUUGUGAAAACUGGGGGCUCAACCCUCAGACGCCGACCGAUACUGUCGGGCUAGAGUCCGGAAGAGGCGAGUGGAAUUCCUGGUGUAGCGGUGAAAUGCGCAGAUAUCAGGAGGAACACCAAUGGCGAAGGCAGCUCGCUGGGACGGUACUGACGCU
rnacentral:rRNA from 1 species